GGAAAGUGUGACUGCAUUUGUGCUACACUCAUUCUUUACCAUCCAAUUUGGCUACUGGUCAGGACAAGAUACAAGACAUGAAUAUUAACAUGGACAUCCUUCUCUCCAAAUUGGAAAGAUCGAUUUGAUGGGUGGAUUGUUCCAUGGAUGAGGAACUGGUUGUAAGAUCAUACCCAGAGAGUGGUGGUCAGUGGCUCAAUGUCCAGAUGGAGGUUGGUAAUGAGAGGUGUCCCUCAGAGGUCUGUACUCGGACUGAUACUCUGUAAUAUCUUCAUCAACAACGUUGACAGUGGAAUCAAGUACACUCUCAGAAAGUUUGAGGAUGAUACUAAGAAGUGUGGUGUGGUCAAAACACCUGAGGGAAAAGAUGCCAUGCAGAGAGGCUCGAGCAGUGGGCCUAGGAGAAUCUCAAGAGUUCUCAAGGUUCAACAAAGCCAAGCGCAAGGUCUUGCAUCUGGAUUGCAGAAACCCUCACUAUCAAUACAGGCUGCAAGGUAAAAGGAUAGAGCACAGCUAUGAUGAAAAGGACUUGGGCUUGAAUGGUGAAUGCUAAGUUCAACAUGAGCCAGCCCUUGCAACCCAGAAAGCCAAUCUUACUGUGCAUCAAAAAGAAUAAUGGUCAGCAGUUCAAGGGAGAUGAUCCUGCCUCUCUACUUUGCGCUGAUGAGAUCUCAUCUGGAGUACUGUAUCCAGAUGUGGAGUUUUCAGUACAGGAAAGACAUAGACUUGUUGGAGUGCAUCCAGAGAAGGGCCACAAAGAUAAUCAGAGGACUGGAACACCUCUCCUAUGAGGACAGACUGAGACAACUGGGGCUGUUCACCGUGGAGAAGAGAAGUCUCCAUCAGGACCUGUUUGUGGUCUUUCAGUUUCUAAAGGAGGGCUGUAAGAAAGAAGGGGACAGACUCUUUAGCAGGACCUGUUGUGAUAGGAUGGGGGGAAAUGGUUUCAAACUAAAAGAGGGGAGAUUUAGAUUGGAUAUAAGGAUUUUUAUUUAUUUAUUUGUUUAUUUAUUACAAUAAGGGUAAUUAAACACUGGAAGAAGUUUCCUAGAGAUGUGGUUGAUGCCCUAUCCUUGGAGACAUUCAAGAUCAGACUGGAGGGGGCUCUGAGCAACUUGAUCUAGCUGUGGAUGUCCCUGUUCAUUGCAGGGGAGUUGGACUAGACAACCUUUAAGAGCUUUCUAACUCAAAUGACUCCAUGAUUCCAUGAGAUUUAUGUUGAACAAACUUUCUCCCAAGACCUUGGGAGCUUAAAGCAAGUACAUGAUUCCAUCACUUUGUUCUGUGGUAAUAGGAGGUUCCUCAUGGCAAAGUGGAAGAGUAAUGAAAGAUUCACUAUUUCUUGUCAGUCUCACUGCAGACAUUAAUAAUUAGCUAUCUCUAAGCUACUCUGAGAUUCAGCCAAUAUUACACUAAGCUCUGUAGUUAUUGAGGUGAAUCUGCUUUGGGGAAAAGAAGCUCUUUAAAUAACUGUCUUCCAAUAUAAUGUCUUCUUCAAUAAAAUAAAUUUGGUCUCCAAAUAUCAUGGUCAUCUGCAACUUCAGUUUUCUUCUGAGUACCAAAUAUUUCUGAUUAAAAAUAAAUAAAUAAAGCAUCCUUUCUAUUUACAUUUGGGAAAAAGAAGAAUAAGGCUAGCCUUGCAGUUCCUUUAUUAAACAUCAUGAUUACUCCGUAAGUAGUAGUCCUUGUAAUUCCAAAUUUCUUAUAUUUAGCUAUCCAUUUCAUUUGAGAAAGCUAUAGUUCAUUAAAAUCAGGACAAAACUAAAAAUUUAUAAAACUAAGUCUUUAUACCUUAGGCUUGAUAUUGAGUGACAUUUUGUGGUCUGAUAUUGGCUAAAGAUCCAAAACUUGUUUUCAGUGGAAAGUUCAACAAAUCCCUUCUGACUUUAUAAACUAUUAAUCUUCAAAGACCUUCAUUGUUCUAACACACUCUGCAUUCUCACCAGGCACAGAGCACUGUGGUCAGAACAAGCUCUGUGCCUGUGGAGAAGACUGCAAAGUUAUUGUUUGAUUCUGUUGUAAUUCUCCUUUUAGUAUGUAUAGAUUUCUGCAUGCAGCUUCCUUUUGUUUCAUAUCUGGGGUUGGAUUUUCUUUUAGUCAUUAAUUUUUUUAUUUAGUUUUCUCCAUUUUUCUUAUGCUUUUUCCUCUUUAUGAUGUUGUUGUCUGCUUCAAAGGGAGUUGGAUUUCUUUCAUAGUUUGUUUCAAAAGCUGGCUUUCUUUCAUAGUAUAUUUUUAAGUGUUUAUCAGCUUUGACUUUUAUACUUUAUAGUGGUUGAAAAAAGUUAUUUGCUGCUAAUGAAAGGUACCAGACCAUGACAGCGCUGGAGACAGAAAUCCUCCCUUUCUGCUUCCCUUAGAGUACCUCUUAUAAAUGUGCAGCACAAAGUAAUUCUAUAAGGUCUUCCAUCUUCACAACUACCUCAAAUACUUCAUAAUUCUCUCUCUGCUAAGAAAAGAAAAAUACCUUCUACUUUCAUGGAAGGAUGGUGUGAAGGUAUUCAUUAAUUACACAGUCAUUCAAAGUCCAUACAUGAUCUUCAGAGUGUUGCUGAUACCCUCUGAGGGGAGACAAUUAAGCAGACAAAAAGGAACUUCAGAGGCAAUAUCCAAAUAAUUUGUCCAAGGCAGCAAAGUGGAAGACAGUGUCAUAGCCACAAAAUGAAAUCAUAAGGAUUUGUUUUGUCUUUAGUGUUCACGUAUGGGUAUAGCAAGUAGAAAUAAAGAACUUAAUUCUUCUACCAUAAGGUAUGUUUUACCAGUUCUCAAUGAUACUGGAGUUGGUAUGCCAGAUAAAAUGAGAAAACUGUCUCUUGUAUGGUGUUAAUAUCAUCAUAUAUGAAGAACAGCCAGAGCAAUCAUGAGGAAACACAGAACAUCACUAUUCUGCCUUACCAUCAUAUUUCUUUCACAGAAUUUAGGUUGCUUCCUCCUUUCUGAAUCUGAAGUAGUCAUUCUCCUCUCCUCUCCUCUCCUCUCCUCUCCUCUCCUCUCCUCUCCUCUCCUCUCCUCUCCUCUCCUCUCCUCUCCUCUCCUCUCCUCUCCUCUCCUCUCCUCUCCUCUCCUCUCCUCUCUCCUUUCUAAAUCUCAGUCUCUAAAUCUCUUAAUUUUUAUUUUGAUUUGGCAGUACACUUCAGUAGGAGAAAUAGCUAGACUUUAUCUUUGGGGAUACUCAAGUUUGCUGCUUCCAUCACAGAAAAGACAUACAACUUCAGUGAUUCACACAGUAGGCACAGAAGACAGGACUAAAUGCCCUUUGCAUAGUAAAUAGCUGUUCCCAUUACUCCUUGCGUAGUGUGGAAGAAAGCCCUUAUUUUCUUUGCUUCAAUAAAUCUUUAAAGCAUUAAUUAUAGAGUUCUGAGAAUUAAGCUCAGAAAACUCAAGGAUGAAACAGAACAGAAAGACAUGAACUCUGGAACAUAGCAUGUUUGUAUUUGUAUUAUUAUAUCAGCUAACAUCCAUUGCAUCAGCUUUGUAUGUCAUCUCUCAGUAGAAAGACUUCUCCCUUCAGGUGGUUGAGACCACCCAGGUCAAUGGGAAAUUACCUUGGGAUAUACGGUCAUCUCAGGCAUGCACAUAGAACAGGAGCUUCACUACUGUUCCUGAAAAUUAAAUUCAUACUCAUAAAAGGGUCUCGAGACAGCAGAUCUGGAUACCCAAGCAUUUCCAGGAGUUUCUUAGGACUCUGUUGUAUAUGCCACCAGUGAGAGUAAAGAGCAGCUGUUAAUUAUUUUUCCCCUCUGUGUAAGCAAUAAAAACUCUUAGUUUACCUUGAAGCCUCCCUAACUGACUCGCUAACAUUGCCAGUGAAUCCCAUACAAUCCUGCAUUCUGCCUACUUGAAAGUCAGCAGUGGAUUCAAGCAUCACAAGAUAUUCCAAGUCUGUGUGGUCACCCCAUUCAUUACUCAUGAAAGAGACAGUAAGAAACCCAAAUCUCAGAGGACCAUCUCAUCUUUACUUUGCUCUGUUUGUUUGUUUCUUCUGCCACAACACAAGCAGUAGACCAGGCAGUCUCAGAGGAUGCCACAGUCCUUGAGACUAGGUUUUCUAGAAAGGACAUUCAACUUCUGGGUUGCCUUGAGCCUUGUUUUUUGAAUUAGCUAAGCCCAGAUUUUUCUCCCCUCCACUAAACCUUCUUUCUUGACAUGGAAUCUAAUAGAAGAAAAGUAAAAAUAUCUAAGUUUAUUUAUUUAAUACAUAAAAAUAAUAACACUGUACAUAAAUAAGAAAGGAAAGGCAGUUCCUAUAAAUUUCUGAAAGCUUCUGAAAAUAGUCUCGGGAUGCAGCCAAAAUUAAUACACUUAUGUAGCCAAAGUUUCCCUGAAAGCAUCUGUACCUGAAUGUCUGUACAAGUAAAAUUGUGCAAAUAACUACAACCAUUUUUCUGGCCAAAACUCUCCUGCAUCUCAACAAAUGAAGUUCCCUUUUUUCUUACUGGAAAGAUAGCAGCAACUUUUUCCCCCAAAACCUAUUCCGAACUGUUCUGAUUAGAAAAAUAUAGGUUGUUUUAUUGAAGUUUUUAUUACCGUUGUUUUCUAUUCAGAGCAGUAGCCAGCUGCCACCACUUGACUAUUCAAGGCACAGACUUACAAGCACUGAUGGCUUUAGCACACUGUGGUCAUCUGGUAGAGUCUGCAGCCAAGUACAGGGAGUGGUGGGAUAGAUCAUUAAAUCCAAUGACUCAAACUACACAUUUCAGGGUCCAAAAAAUCAGUGCAAACUUCCCUUCUUCUGUAGUAUAAUGGAUUGCUAAUUGAGAUAAUGUGAGACAGCAACAUACUGGGAGGGAUCAUACAUGGGAGAAGUAACAUCACAAAUUGUAGCUUAUUUCAAGUGGGUUUUUCUGUCAGUGUCCAAAGACAGAUGAGAUACAGUGUUAAUUGACUAAAGCCACAAAGAGAGGCUGUGGCACCUAGAAUAUUAAGAAGGUGUGAGUCAGUACAGCACUGCAUAUGCUUCUCUAGCAAGUGCUCUGUACUGAAAGAAGCCCUGGCAGAAAAGUACCCUGGACAUCGCCUCCAUUUAUGAACUACCAAAUGACUUGAGAUCAGAUACAGCUUGUGGCAAACAGCUCUCUCAUGUGUUGUUCUCUGCUUGGAGAGGUGCUGUGUAUUCCUGCUUCCAGUCUUCCAGUAAUCUGUUUAUGAGCAUCCUGGCAGCUCUGCAAAGCUUAGCUUGUGACUCCAGGAAAAAGACAGAUUCAGAGAAAGAAGGGUUCAGAAGAAGGAAGGAGAAAUUGUAGUUUGUAAAGGUUUGUUUGCAGUUCAUUUGCAGUUCAUUUCUAUGGAGAAAUAGAGGUCAGUCAUGAAUUGCUGUGAGUUCUUGUUGG
rnacentral:lncRNA from 1 species